CUCUCUCUCUCUCUCUUUCUCUCUCUAUUGUUUCUUUACAAAUCCAACCCACCCACCUCCUUUCUUCUUCCUCUCUUUCUCUAUAUAUUCAUUUCAUUCACAUAACCCAUAAGUAGAUUCUUCUGUGAUUGUAAGAAGAAAGUGACUAACUCAAACAUAUAAAGUAUACACAAACAUAAACCCCAAAAAAAAAAAAAAAAAAAAAAA
rnacentral:lncRNA from 1 species